rnacentral:lncRNA from 1 species
CGAACUCAUGCUACUGUGAUAUCGUGACACCAAAUCGUCUGCACUGCAGCCGUCCCGCUAGACCACACGACCAACUGGGCUCUCAUUUAAAGAGCUUUCGCUGGCCAUGUGUUACCUUUCCACGUCAGUUUUAAUCUAGCGGCGUACUACAGUAAAUACAUUUUGUAUAUGUGUAUGUGUGUAUGUCUCUGAAUAAACUAUGCCCGAG